rnacentral:snoRNA from 1 species
ACUUAUUGUUCAGACUCAUUGUUUCAACAAUGAUAAAGAAACUUUGCAUUAAACCAAGAAAUUACAAGGUU